rnacentral:rRNA from 1 species
UACAGAGGGGGCAAGCGUUGUCCGGAAUUAUUGGGCGUAAAGAGCUCGUAGGCGGCUUGUCACGUCGGGUGUGAAAGCCCGGGGCUUAACCCCGGGUCUGCAUUCGAUACGGGCAGGCUAGAGUGUGGUAGGGGAGAUCGGAAUUCCUGGUGUAGCGGUGGAAUGCGCAGAUAUCAGGAGGAACACCAAUAGCGAAGGCAGCUCGCUGGGACGUUUACUGACACUGAGGCGCGAAAGCGUGGGGAGCGAACAGG